GACGAACGCUGGCGGCGUGCUUAACACAUGCAAGUUGAACGGAAAGGCCCUGCUUUUGUGGGGUGCUCGAGUGGCGAACGGGUGAGUAACACGUGAGUAACCUGCCCUUGACUUUGGGAUAACUUCAGGAAACUGGGGCUAAUACCGGAUAGGAGCUCCUGCUGCAUGGUGGGGGUUGGAAAGUUUCGGCGGUUGGGGAUGGACUCGCGGCUUAUCAGCUUGUUGGUGGGGUAGUGGCUUACCAAGGCUUUGACGGGUAGCCGGCCUGGGAGGGUGACCAGCCACAUUGGGACUGAGGUACGGCCCAGACUCCUACGGGAGGCAGCAGUGGGGAAUAUUGCACAAUGGGCGGAAGCCUGAUGCAGCAGCGCCGCGUGCGGGAUGACGGCCUUCGGGUUGUAAACCGCUUUCGCCUGUGACGAAGCGUGAGUGACGGUAAUGGGUAAAGAAGCACCGGCUAACUACGUG
rnacentral:rRNA from 1 species